GACACGUGUUGACUAAAUCCUUCGUUAGCUGGGCUUAGCGAGAGCCUUAGGAAAUGAGGGGAUUGCUAGUCCCAUUUCCCCGCUUCCCCUCGCUUCGCCUCGCCCUAAACCUGAGAACUUGCCCUCUUGCUGUGUCUCUCCCCACCUCCCUCUCGUCUGUCCAAAAGAUCUCCAAGUCUGCAAGAAUUUCCAGGUCUGCAAGAACCCACAAGUCUGCACCUGGGUUUGACAGAAACAAUUCAAACAAAUCUAAAAAGGCCAAGUUUGCAAGACUGAUUUGCAAGAUUACUCUGCGUUUUGUCUCAAAGGAUUACAACUACAGAGGAUUUCAAAGUAUUUGAUGGAAGGUCAAGAAGGAAUUUGUUGUUGUUAUUGAAGAGCUAUUCGGCUACAAAUCUUCAAAUAACUACUUGAGCAGAAAAUAAAUAGAGGGCUUAUGAAGGAGAUGAACUCUCAUAUAUCAGGAAAAUGAUUAUGUGAAUUGGGUUGGAUUUGUGAGUUGUAUCUGAAAUACCAAAUUGAAGGAUUUGAUUUUUAUGGGAUAUUAGAGCUUUUGAGCAAUUUGGAGUGGUUGAACAAAUUGAAUGAUUUCAAUAGUUUUGCUUUUUCUGGGAUAGCAAA